AAAAAAGUAAAUUUAUGUUGAAAUAGUUGAUAAGAAAGCAAAUGAUGCCCUGCCUGUUUUCCUUUUCCUCUUCUCAAUUUCUUACAGUCAGUGGAAGGACUCAGAGGCAGCUUUGGAGUGUUUUAAGAGCCAUCAUUUACGUCAUGGCAGGGUUUCCAGGAUGUUACAAAAUCUAAAUUAAGCAUGAUGGCAACACCACCUGGAAAUUACUUUGCUUACAAGUGAAAGGAAACAAAGGCUGUCCCACAUGUGCUGUUCUCUCAUUUGGCUGGAGUGAGUUCCACAGGGUGUUUCUAAGAGCAGCCCAAAAGGCUCAGCUGGACAAGGAGCCUGCAGUGCAGCACCCCGAGAUCAGUGAUGGGUGUAAUUCUGGGAAAGCCCUCAUUUUCCAUGGGAUUGGAAAGAAAUGCCAUGUUAGGGAAGACUCCCAAGGACUGCUCUCAAGAAGUGCUAAUUGCUGUAUCCUGGAUUGGCUCAAGGCUUACAAGGAGCAUCGUGUCCCAGGGGAAUGCUCUGCAUAAUGAAAGACCUGCCUGGUGAGAGAUAUUGGAUGGGCAGCUGAGAGAAAAACUACAUUUGGCAUAAAAAAUGGGAGCAGCAAACUUCCUCUAAAUAUAUCUAUAAAUUGCCAGGCAUGAUCCAUCAGCUGAGGGGACUGGAAUUUUUGGUGGUAAUGAAAUCUUGCAGAGUCAUACAU
rnacentral:lncRNA from 1 species